rnacentral:sRNA from 1 species
AUUUUGUCUUUAUCUUUUU